rnacentral:rRNA from 1 species
AAAGCGUGCGCAGGCGGUUGUGUAAGUCUGAUGUGAAAGCCCCGGGCUCAACCUGGGAACUGCAUUGGAGACUGCACGGCUAGAGUGCGUCAGAGGGGGGUAGAAUUCCGCGUGUAGCAGUGAAAUGCGUAGAGAUGCGGAGGAAUACCGAUGGCGAAGGCAGCCCCCUGGGAUGACACUGACGCUCAUGCACGAAAGCGUGGGGAGCAAACAGGAUUAGAUACCCGUGU